rnacentral:rRNA from 1 species
UACAGAGGGGGCAAGCGUUGUUCGGAAUUACUGGGCGUAAAGCGCGUGUAGGUGGAUUGGUGUGUCAGAUGUGAAAUCCCUGGGCUCAACCCAGGAACUGCACCUGAAACUACCAGUCUUGAGUGGUGGAGAGGGAAGUGGAAUUCCUGGUGUAGAGGUGAAAUUCGUAGAUAUCAGGAGGAACACCAGUGGCGAAGGCGGCUUCCUGGACACCAACUGACGCUGAGACGCGAAAGCGUGGGGAGCAAACAGG